ACUCUGCUUCGGGGUCCGACUAAUCCAUGCGAGUCAUGGGGCUCCCUUUUGGGAGCACCGGCGAACGGCUCAGCAACACGUGGCUAACCUACCCUCGGGUGGGGGAUAACCUCGGGAAACUGAGGCUAAUCCCCCAUAGGGGAGGAGGUCUGGAAUGAUCCCUCCCCGAAAGGCAGUAAGCCGCCCGAGGAUGGGGCUGCGGCGGAUUAGGUAGUUGGUGGGGUAAUGGCCCACCAAGCCUACGAUCCGUACGGGCCCUGAGAGGGGGAGCCCGGAGAUGGACACUGAGACACGGGUCCAGGCCCUACGGGGCGCAGCAGGCGCGAAACCUCCGCAAUGCGCGAAAGCGCGACGGGGGGACCCCGAGUGCCCUGCCUCUGGCAGGGCUUUUCCGGAGUGUAAACAGCUCCGGGAAUAAGGGCUGGGCAAGUCCGGUGCCAGCAGCCGCGGUAAUACCGGCGGCCCAAGUGGUGGCCACUGUUAUUGGGCCUAAAGCGUCCGUAGCCGGCCCGGUAAGUCUCUGCUUAAAUCCCGCGGCUUAACCGCGGGGCUGGCAGAGAUACUGCCGGGCUUGGGACCGGGAGAGGCCGGGGGUACCCCAGGGGUAGCGGUGAAAUGCGUUGAUCCCUGGGGGACCACCUGUGGCGAAGGCGCCCGGCUGGAACGGGUCCGACGGUGAGGGACGAAGGCCGGGGGAGCAAACCGGAUUAGAUACCCGGGUAGUCCCGGCUGUAAACUCUGCGGACUAGGUGUCGCGUGCCCUUCGGGGGCACGCGGUGCCGAAGGGAAGCCGUUAAGUCCGCCGCCUGGGGAGUACGGUCGCAAGACUGAAACUUAAAGGAAUUGGCGGGGGAGCACU
rnacentral:rRNA from 1 species